rnacentral:pre_miRNA from 1 species
CAACUACUCCCUCUGUCCCAAAUUUCUUAUCUUAGAUUUGUCUAGAUACGGAUGUAUCUAAUACUAAAAUGUGACUUGAUACAUCUGUAUCUAGACAAAUCUAAGACAAGAAUUUUGGGAUGGAGGGAGUACUUU